rnacentral:lncRNA from 1 species
GAGCAAGAAGGCUGGAUCAAAGAGUGUACAAAGGGAAAGGUUGCAUAAUAGGUUGGAGCCAGCUUUGGAAAGGGCCGAGAUUUCAAAUCAUGUUUUGUCCCAAAUUCACUGUUUUUUUCCAGGGUCACUUCAUCAACCUAAAGUUGAAUCAGUCCAGACUCCUCAUUUCAUAAGUCAGGUAAAUGUAACUCAGAGAGAUGAGUCAUGAUUUGCCCAAGAUCACACAACAAAUGAAGGGCAAAACAGAUUUAAUAUGGUUGUAAUUAAAACAACAAAAAACUUCUAAGUUAGGAGAAACUAGUGAGAGAACUCACUCGACAGGUAAUUAGAGUUGCCCAAAUUAGACCCUCUCUCCUCCUCCUCACAGUUUUAUGACUUCCUCUACCUCUCUGGCUACACAUAGACAGCAUCUCUUGAUCUUGCCCUUGAAAUUGCAAUUCAACCUUUUCUUCUAUUCCCUUUCCUCCACUUUCACUCUCAUAAAUAUGCCUUUUUAUUCUUAGAGCUAAGGCUAAUUACAGAAUCACAGAAUUGAAAGAGCUAAGCAACUAUGUAGUUCAACCUGUCCCCGAAAAAGAAUUCUGGCUACCUGACAAGUGGUCAUCCUUUGCUUGAAGACUUCUAUGAAAGGAAGCUCACUACAAAACGAGACAGCUCCUUCUGGUUUAGACAGCUCUGGUGGUAGGGAUUUUUUGUUUCUUCAGUUUUCCUGACAUUAAGCCUAAGCUUUGAGGCAAUGAACAGCAAUCCAUUGCUCCUGGUUCACUCCUCUAGGGCCAAAGAGUAUGUUGAAUCCUUCUUCCAUGUAACAACCUUUCAUAAAUUAAAGGCUAAGCUUCAUAAACUGAAGGCUAAAUUCUUUCAACCAGCCCACUAAUGACACACACUCAAGGCCCUUCACCAUUCCGAUUGUCCUCCUCUAAAAUUUGUCCAUGUCCUCCUUAAAAUGUGGUGCUCAAAAAUAAAACACAGAUGUGAUUUCUGCCUUUUUUAAAGAAGCAUAAGGAGGCCACUGUUACUUGUUCACAGAGUGUGUUGGGGGACAUACAAUACAAGAAGGUGGGAAAGACAGGAAGGACCUUGAAUACCAAAGAGAGAAUUUUAUAUUUGAUCUAGAGGUGUCCCAGAUAGUCUCCAUGAUUUCAUCUCUCACUUCACUCUAAGACUGGCUUUCUGAGUAUGGAAAAACUCUCCUAAUUCUAAAAAUGUCUUUCCCCAGCCCUUCAUCAAUCAUCUACUAUCCUCUUCUCAUUCACUGAUAACCUCUUUUUUAUUUAAUAGUUUUCCUCUAAUUACAUGUAAAAACAAUUUUUUAAUCUUUUUACCUGGAAAGACUUACAUGUACUAAUGAAAAAUGAAGUGACGAGAACCAGG